ACGUAGGGGGCGAGCGUUAUCCGGAUUCAUUGGGCGUAAAGCGCGCGCAGGCGGCGCGCCAAGCGGGACCUCUAACCCCGGGGCUCAACCCCGGGCCGGGUCCCGAACUGGCGCGCUCGGGUGCGGUAGAGGAGAGCGGAAUUCCCGGUGUAGCGGUGGAAUGCGCAGAUAUCGGGAAGAACACCGAUGGCGAAGGCAGCUCUCUGGGCCGUCACCGACGCUGAGGCGCGAAAGCCGGGGGAGCGAACAG
rnacentral:rRNA from 1 species